UAUGUUUUUGAAAUUUUUAUAUAAUUAUAGGUUAAAUUUUAAUUAUUUAAAAUGUAUAGUUAUAAUUUUAAAUUUUGUUAAUCGAAUUAGAUUAGUACCUAAUUAGUCAAAAGUUAAAAAAGCAGAAGUAAAGUAAAAUUUAAACUGAAAGAAUAUUGGCAGAUUUUCUAAAUUAUCUUUGGAGGUUGAGUAAUAAUUGAGAACCCUCAUUAACUACUUUUUUAGUUGUCUCAUGUAUGAUCGUUUAUUAUAUGCUUAAGGGAUAUAAUUAAAAAUUUUUAUUUAAAAAAAUAGAUAUAUAUUUGGUUUAUAUAAAAGUAAUAUUUGACCUACAGUAAUUUGUAAUUGUGGAUCUAUUUUUUAGUAAAGUAGUGAAAAUGUAAAAGACAGUAAAAAAAUUUUUAUGAUUUUUUGAAGAUUA
rnacentral:rRNA from 1 species